rnacentral:rRNA from 1 species
UAGGGAAUCUUCGGCCAUGGACGAAAGUCUGACCGAGCAACGCCGCGUGAGGGAAGAAGGUUUUCGGAUCGUAAAACUCUGUUGUUAGAGAAGAACAAGGACGUUAGUAACUGAACGUCCCCUGCCGGUAUCUAACCAGAAAGCCACGGCUAACUACGUGCCAGCAGCCGCGGUAAUACGUAGGUGGCAAGCGUUGUCCGGAUUUAUUGGGCGUAAAGCGAGCGCAGGCGGUUUCUUAAGUCUGAUGUGAAAGCCCCCGGCUCAACCGGGGAGGGUCAUUGGAAACUGCGAGACUUGAGUGCAGCAGAGGAGAGUGGAAUUCCAUGUGUAGCGGUGAAAUGCGUAGGUAUAUGGAGGAACACCAGUGGCGAAGGCGGCUCUCUGGUCUGUAACUGACGCUGAGGCUCGAAAGCGUGGGGAGCAAACAGG